rnacentral:rRNA from 1 species
GAUGAACGCUGGCGGCGUGCCUAAUACAUGCAAGUCGAGCGAGAAUUUUUCAAUUGACACUUCGGUUGAUUUUGGAAAAGGACAGCGGCGGACGGGUGAGUAACGCGUAGGCAACCUGCCCCUGACAGAGGGAUAGCCAUUGGAAACGAUGAUUAAAACCUCAUAAUGCCGAAGGAACACAUGUUUCAUCGGCCAAAGAUUUAUCGGUCAGGGAUGGGCCUGCGUCUGAUUAACUAGUUGGUGAGGUAAC